rnacentral:rRNA from 1 species
CCUAAAGUUAUUUAAAUCCUUACAAAUAUUCUCAGACUUUAGAGUAAAUCAAAUAAGGUACAGCCUAUUUGAUACAGAACACAACCUUCAACAACGGGUGAUACAACUUAAAACUUAAGUGGGCCUAAGAGCAGCCACCUUUUAAAAAGCGUCAAAGCUUACACUAUACUUCAAUUCGUAAACCACUAUUGAUCCCUUCAACCCUAUUGAGAACUCCUAUAACCCUUAUAGGACAUUUUAUGCUAAAACUAGUAACAAGAGGUUACCCCUCUCUACAAUGUAAACUCAAACCAGCUUGAACCCCUCACUGGUAUCCAACAGACUUUGACUAAAGUAAUAACUCUUCUAGAAAAUAUUACUUCCACCACUGUUAACCUAACACAAGAACAUUUUAAGAAAGAUUAAAAGAAAAAGAAGGAACUCGGCAAAUAUUAAGUCCGCCUGUUUACCAAAAACAUCACCUCUUGCCCUCCCCAUAAGAGGCCCAGCCUGCCCAGUGAUUUUAUUCAACGGCCGCGGUAUCCUAACCGUGCAAAGGUAGCGUAAUCACUUGUCUCCUAAAUAGAGACUAGUAUGAAAGGCAUCACGAGACUUAUACUGUCUCCUCUCUCUAAUCAGUGAACCUAAUCUCCCCGUGAAGAAGCGGGGGUAAUUUUAUAAGACGUGCCUACCCCCACUAUUGGAAAUAAACCUUAGCAUUUUAUU